CUGACAAAAUUUCAAACAUUUGUGACAUCCACAUAGAACAUUCAAAAGCAUUCCAGUGGCAGCUCGCACGUCAUCCAUCAGUUCCUCUGAGAACAGGCAGAGCUCUUUACUGUGAUGUCUCGCUGGUCCCCUGAUAACCUCUGAUCUUGCCUGGGAUGCAUCCGCCGCAGCAAUCACAACCCUCCACGGUUUUCCAAGUUAACAGCUUAGUACGUUUGAGAAAAUCCAAAUUUUGUAUCUUUUCAAAUGGAAGGCCGUGUGGUAAAGUGAAAAGAGCAGUGGACUUGGUAUCAGGAGUAAGAAGAACCAACAAUGAUGAAUACAUCGAUGACGUGCCAGGUGCAAGUAGUCUAUAAAUGAGUAUCUUUGGAACUGCACUUGCAAGGAACAUGCUUUGAGAAAUAAUUUUCUUCACACCAAAGGCCUCGCCGCUCUGCAGUGUCUGCCAACAUGCGUUCAUUCCUUCACGGAGUCAACAGGCAACAAUCAGAAAAAAAUAUAAAUUAUGUUUCCUCCCCAAGUAUCUUCUAAAGCACAAUCAUGAAAUACGGAAGUGUGAUGUCAAAAUCAUCAACAUUUGCAGGACUUUUAAGCCCUGAAACAAUAUUGCCCAUCAUUGCUGCUUCCCGGCGGUUUACUGCUGUUACACAGAAAGUGUCAUGAUGCUGGGGACCAGUGAAGACGUUUCAGAUGUCCCAGACUGCUGCAAGAGUGAAAGUUGGAGGGGACUGUGGAAGAUCUUGAGGCACAGAUGAGCAACACUCCAUCUGGUCAGUCAUCAAAAAAGUUCUGAAGAUCACUGAGUGAAAAAUGCAUUCACUGGACAUGGAUAGGAAAAACAGCCAGUCUACUUAGUCCCUGGGCACAAGAAAUGGACAGUAUUGGGAGGCUGGAGCACAGCAUAAGGAAAUAAUUAGAAAUGCAGUCAAAGAAUUAUGUACCAGGAUGUUCACAGAAGCAUUAUUUAAAAUUGAAGAACAAGCCAAAAAAAAAAAAUUGGACUCAAACCAAAUAGCCCAAAAUAGGGGAUGGUUAAAUAAGAUGGACUAUUAAACAGACAUUAAAUAUCAUGUUUUCAGAAUAUAUUUAAUUAAAUGGAAAAAAACACAUAUGAUACACUCUAAAGUUUAAAAGCAUGCACAGCUGUAUAUACAAUAUGUUUUAAAUCAGUGUCAAAAACGUUACGUUAAAAAUGAGCUGAAACUUGUGAAAAAUACUUAGGAUGAUAUAAAGUACUUUUCCAUCAUAUUGUAAGCAAUGAGGAAAGAAAAGGCAGGAAGAGAAGGACCCUAUUGCUUGCAGAAGAGAGCAAUUUCCUAACAGACAAUAGAAUUUAUUUUUCUCCAGCAAGGAAAAUUAUCUUCAAGUUCUAAAAAUAAAAAAUACAAUAAAAAUAUUAAAAUUUCAACCCAAAAUGGUGAGGAAG
rnacentral:lncRNA from 1 species